rnacentral:tRNA from 1 species
GCCUUCAUGCUGUAACGGGAAGCACGUCCGACUAGCAAUCGGGUGGUUCUGAGGUAGAAUCCCGGUGAGGGCA